rnacentral:rRNA from 1 species
AUUGAACGCUGGCGGCAUGCUUUAUACAUGCAAGUCGAACGGCCACGCGGGCUUCUUCCUCCCGUCGAGUGGCCAACGGGUGAGUAAUUCAUCCGAACGUGCCCUGCAUAUAGGGAUAGCCUGGCGAAAGCCGGAUUAAUACCGCACACGACCUGAUGUUGAAAGCGGGGGACCGAAAGUCCUAGCGGUUUUUGAUCUCCCGAUGUCGGAUUAGCUAGUUGGUAGGGUAACGGCUUACCAAGGCGACGAUCCGUAGCUGGUCUGAGAGGCCGACCGGCCACACUGGGACUGAGACACGGCCCAGACUCCUACGGGAGGCAGCAGUAGGGAAUUUUGCGCAAUGGGCGAAAGCCUGAUGGAGCAAUGCCGCGUGCGGGAUGAAGGCCUUCGGGUUGUAAACCGCUUUUGUUAGGGAAGAAAAAAUCUGGAAUAAUCCCUGGGGGGGAUGACGGUACCGGAACAGAAAGCACCGGCUAACUACGUG